AUGAUGUGGAUUAAUUCGAUGCAACGCGAAAACCUUACCUACCCUUGACAUGUCUGGAACCUUGCUGAGAGGCGAGGGUGCCUUCGGGAGCCAGAACACAGGUGCUGCAUGGCUGUCGUCAGCUCGUGUCGUGAGAUGUUGGGUUAAGUCCCGCAACGAGCGCAACCCUUGUCAUUAGUUGCCAUCAUUUAGUUGGGCACUCUAAUGAGACUGCCGGUGACAAACCGGAGGAAGUGGGAUGACGUCAAAUCAUCAUGCCCCUUAUGACCUGGGCUACACACGUGCUACAAUGGUUGGUACAGACGGAGGCGAAGCCGCGAGGCGGAGCAAAUCCGAAAAAGCCGGUCUCAGUUCGGAUUGCAGGCUGCAAUUCGCCUGCAUGAAGUCGGAAUCGCUAGUAAUCGCAGGUCAGCAUACUGCGGUGAAUACGUUCCCGGGCCUU
rnacentral:rRNA from 1 species